rnacentral:SRP_RNA from 1 species
GCCGGUCCUCCGCGUGACGGUAUCAUCCGAACCUCCCCAGGGCAGGAAUGCAGCAAGGAUAAGGGUGCG